rnacentral:tRNA from 1 species
CAGGAAGUAGCUUAUUAACAAAGCAUUCAACUUACAAUUGAAAGAGGUUUACGGAAACCUUCUUGA